rnacentral:rRNA from 1 species
AGAUGUGAAAGCCCGGGGCUCAACCUCGGAAUUGCAUUUGAAACUGGCAAACUAGAGUACUGUAGAGGGGGUAGAAUUUCAGGUGUAGCGGUGAAAUGCGUAGAGAUCUGAAGGAAUACCGGUGGCGAAGGCGGCCCCCCUCGGACAGAUACUGACACUCAGAUGCGAAAGCGUGGGGAGCAAACAGGAUUAGAUACCCCUGGUAG